GCGGAUGUAGUCAAGUGGAUCAAGACAGUGGAUUGUGAUACCCCCCGCGCCGGAAA
rnacentral:tRNA from 1 species